CAAAUGUUGUAUUUAUUUAACCCUCAUGUGGUGUUCGGGUCCUUUUUGCUCUGAACAUUUUAUAUUUUUCCCGAAAA